AACGAACGCUGGCGGCAGGCUUAACACAUGCAAGUCGAGCGCCUCGCAAGAGGAGCGGCAGACGGGUGAGUAACGCGUGGGAAUCUACCCAUCUCUACGGAACAACUCCGGGAAACUGGAGCUAAUACCGUAUACGUCCUUCGGGAGAAAGAUUUAUCGGAGAUGGAUGAGCCCGCGUUGGAUUAGCUAGUUGGUGGGGUAAUGGCCUACCAAGGCGACGAUCCAUAGCUGGUCUGAGAGGAUGAUCAGCCACAUUGGGACUGAGACACGGCCCAAACUCCUACGGGAGGCAGCAGUGGGGAAUAUUGGACAAUGGGCGAAAGCCUGAUCCAGCCAUGCCGCGUGAGUGAUGAAGGCCCUAGGGUUGUAAAGCUCUUUCAACGGUGAAGAUAAUGACGGUAACCGUAGAAGAAGCCCCGGCUAACUUCGUGCCAGCAGCCGCGGCAAUACGAAGGGGGCUAGCGUUGUUCGGAAUUACUGGGCGUAAAGCGCACGUAGGCGGAUUGUUAAGUUAGGGGUGAAAUCCCAGGGCUCAACCCUGGAACUGCCUUUAAUACUGGCAAUCUCGAGUCCGAGAGAGGUGAGUGGAAUUCCGAGUGUAGAGGUGAAAUUCGUAGAUAUUCGGAGGAACACCAGUGGCGAAGGCGGCUCACUGGCUCGGUACUGACGCUGAGGUGCGA
rnacentral:rRNA from 1 species